CCCAUUGUGAGGUGGAAUCGGAAGUAAGAACUAGACAAACUGUUAACCCGAUGGUCACGAAUCUCAAUUGAGGCGGGUAGAUGACAGGAAAGAUAUAUGC
rfam:Solobacterium moorei F0204 genomic scaffold Scfld15, whole genome shotgun sequence.